CACCUGGACAAAAUAUUAAAAUCAGAGAUCACUGCAUGUGUGUGUUUCUAGGUAUCACAAAAUAUCAUUAUUAAUCAAAAGCAUCAACUGAAAGAAAUAUGAUAUGAAAAGUACAAGAAGCAUCAAUAAAUUAUCAGUAUCAACCCCAUAUUCUUUCGGUUGCAGGGUGAUGCAGUUUGAGGGUCAUAAAAAUGAGAUGAGAUAGAUAGAUUCUUUUGGAUUAUUCAGGGUUGUGGAUAAGGAUAAACUAUAGGUCGUAAAAGGUCGUACCCAGUGCACAAGGCUCCCGCUUUACGCAGGGUCUGGGAGAGGUGAAUGUCGGCUAGCCUUACCCCCAUUUAUGGAGAGGCUGCUCCCAAGGAUAAACUAUAGGAUCAAGUUAAUUUUUGGUCAGCCCCAGCAGCCUCGGCCACUGUAGAAAUCAGGAAUUCUUCCUUGUCAGAUUUUUUGUUUGGCUAGAAAUCUGAUCUUUUAACCCCUAGUGUGAAAUUUAGGUAGCUUAUAGAGUUUUGUUGUUCACGACUUAAUAUUUUGAUUUACUUAUCAAAACAUAGUUACGACACGAACUGAUUCUCUAAGCACCCGGAAAACCAUUUUUCGCAACAAUCAGCGUCCAAUAAAUACAAUAUAACUACUUGGAGAUAGUUACUUUUUCCUUAUGAAACAAAAUCAAAUGGUUGGGAGAGUGAGUUAGAGUUCUUAAGCAUCUAAUCAUUUGAUGAACUCCACCUACUUCACAUAAAAUACAUUACAGUACCCAUAAGAUAUCUUACAGCAAAUUUUUUUAGCAUGUAGACGAUAAAACAUAAUCUUGCUAGUAGCUUCAAAGGAAUUAUCAGAUUCAAGGAUGGACAACAGAGCAUGCUUCUCACUUA
rnacentral:lncRNA from 1 species